CGCCGGGAGCGGCGGCGGCCGGCGGUUGUUCCCGUUACGUGGGGACGGGGAGGAGGGACGGAGGACCCCCUGACGGACGCCAACCCUACAGGGGAAUGGCGCCUUCCCCUCAGGCAGAGAUCGGGAGCGGGGUUCGGGAGACAGUGGCAUCUUCCCCUCAGGCAGAGACGGGGAGCGGGAUUCGGGAGACAGUGGCAUCUUCCCCGCAGGCAGAGACCGGGAGCGGGGUUCAGGGGGCAGUGGCAUCUUCCCCUCAGGCAGAGAUCGGGAGCGGGGUUCAGGGAGCAGUGGCAUCUUCCCCUCAGGCAGAGAUCGGGAGCGGGGUUCAGGGAGCAGUGGCAUCUUCCCCUCAGGCAGAGACCGGGACAGGGUUUCAGGGGGCAGUGGCAUCUUCCCCUCAGGCAGAGACCGGGACAGGGUUUCAGGGGGCAGUGGCAUCUUCCCCUCAGGCAGAGACCGGGACAGGGUUUCAGGGGGCAGUGGCAUCUUCCCCUCAGGCAGAGACCGGGAGUGGGGUUCAGGGAGCAGUGGCAUCUUCCCCUCAGGCACAGAUCCGGGAGAAGAUUCGUAGGGAAUAGCGCCUUCCCCUCAGGCAGAGAUCGGAAGAGGGGUAUGAAAGAGAAUGGCACCUUUGCCUCAGGUAAUGACCUGAAGAAGAAUAUGAGGAGGAAAUAGUGCUUUCCCCUCAGGAUGAGGCUGUGAGAGAGGUGCAGUGGGAAAAUGGCACCGUCCCCUCAGGUGUUGAUCGAUACCUGGGUAAAGUGGGCCAUGGCAUCUUCACCUCAGGGGGUGACCAGGAGAGGGGUACAGACAGGAAUGGCACCUUGCCCUCAGGUGGAAACUGUGAGAGGCCUACAGAGUACAACAGCAUCUUCUUCUCAGGAGGGAUAUUGCACAUGUCCAUGAAGUAACUGAUACAGGCAUGCACAGAUGCUCAGGAAAAUGCUAAGGAGGACGAAUUUUAGUAGAAGAGGGCUAGGAACACCGAGCCUGAACAGCUCCUUGCUCUUGAGGUUGGUGCCAUUACAUCUGCUUGGGCCAAGCUGGAUGAGGACAGAGUCCUGCUUGCAGAGUCAAUCAGCAAAAAAAGUAUCCUGAGAAAUAGCAAAAGUGUACAAAAUCGUCAAAUCCACGGAGAGACAGCCUUCCUAGGCCUCAAUUUUU